rnacentral:rRNA from 1 species
GAUGAACGCUGGCGGCGUGCCUAAUACAUGCAAGUCGAGCGAACGGACGAGAAGCUUGCUUCUCUGAUGUUAGCGGCGGACGGGUGAGUAACACGUGGAUAACCUACCUAUAAGACUCGGAUAACUUCGGGAAACCGGAGCUAAUACCGGAUAAUAUUUUGAACCGCAUGGUUCAAAAGUGAAAGACGGUCUUGCUGUCACUUAUAGAUGGAUCCGCGCUGCAUUAGCUAGUUGGUAAGGUAACGGCUUACCAAGGCAACGAUGCAUAGCCGACCUGAGAGGGUGAUCGGCCACACUGGAACUGAGACACGGUCCAGACUCCUACGGGAGGCAGCAGUAGGGAAUCUUCCGCAAUGGGCGAAAGCCUGACGGAGCAACGCCGCGUGAGUGAUGAAGGUCUUCGGAUCGUAAAACUCUGUUAUUAGGGAAGAACAUAUGUGUAAGUAACUGUGCACAUCUUGACGGUACCUAAUCAGAAAGCCACGGCUAACUACGUG